rnacentral:lncRNA from 1 species
CCUUCAGAUCGGGCUGCCAUCGAUGGAUGGCCACCAGCCAUACCCCCAUGCAUGGACCUCUAGCAUCCGCAACCAACUCCUCCCCAUCGGCCAGAGCCUCCAUCUCCAAGCUUUAACCCACUAAGGCACCUCCUUCCCCACCCACAAGAGCCUCCGUCUCUAAGCUUUAACCCACAGAGACAACUCCUUUCCCACCCACC